rnacentral:rRNA from 1 species
CAAUAGCGUAUAUUAAAGUUGUUGCGGUAAAAAAGCUCGUAAUUGGAUUUCUACCGAAGAUAGCCGGUCGGGUCUUCGACCUUGUAUCUGGUUUUGUCUUUGGUAUCCUCAUAGGGAACGUUUCUGCGCUUUAUUGCGUGGUGCGGUAUCUAUGACUUUUACUUUGAGGAAAUUAGAGUGUUCACGGCAGGCAAACGCCUUGAAUAUAUUAGCAUGGAAUAAUAACAUAGGAUCUUCGUCCUAUUUUGUUGGUUUCUAGGGCUAAGAUAAUGAUUAAUAGGGAUAAUUGGGGGCAUCUGUAUCAACGCGUCAGAGGUGGAAUUCUUGGAUUGCGUUGCGACAAACUACUGCGAAAGCAUUUGCCAAGGAUGUUUUCAUUGA